UACGUAGGUGGCAAGCGUUGUCCGGAAUUAUUGGGCGUAAAGCGCGCGCAGGCGGUCCUUUAAGUCUGAUGUGAAAGCCCACGGCUCAACCGUGGAGGGUCAUUGGAAACUGGGGGACUUGAGUGCAGAAGAGGAGAGUGGAAUUCCACGUGUAGCGGUGAAAUGCGCAGAUAUCAGGAGGAACACCGAUUGCGAAGGCAGCUCGCUGGGACAUAACUGACGCUGAGACGCGAAAGCGUGGGGAGCAAACAGG
rnacentral:rRNA from 1 species